AGUGAACGCUGGCGGUAGGCCUAACACAUGCAAGUCGAACGGCAGCACAGUAAGCGCUUUCUCUUACGGGUGGCGAGUGGCGGACGGGUGAGGAAUACAUCGGAAUCUACUUUUUCGUGGGGGAUAACGUAGGGAAACUUACGCUAAUACCGCAUACGACCUACGGGUGAAAUCAGGGGAUCUUCGGACCUUGCGCGUUUUAAUUAGCCGAUGUCGGAUUAGCUAGUUGGCGGGGUAAAGGCCCACCAAGGCGACGUUCCGUAGCUGGUCUGAGAGGAUGAUCAGCCACAAUGGAACGGAGACACGGUCCAGAUUCAUACGGGAGGCAGCAGUGGGGAAUAUUGGAAAAUGGGCGCAAGCCUGAUGCAGCCAUACCGCGUGGGUGAAGAAGGCCUUCGGGUUGUAAAGCCCUUUUGUUGGGAAAGAAAAGCAGCAGGUUAAUACCCCGCUGUUCUGACGGUACCCAAAGAAAAAGCACCGGCUAACAUGGU
rnacentral:rRNA from 1 species